UUAAUUUCUGUGAACGUGAGAGAGAUAUUCAAAUCUUGGAACUGUGGGUUUAUAUCUGGGGUGAUCUCGUAGAAGUUGCCAAACUUGUUUGAAUAUAUGGGUUUGUUGCUUCUCAAGUUGAAUGGGCCAGAUUCAGAAGGUUUGCCUUCACCUGAUGAAGAUUGAGCAUGUUUUCUCAAUUCUUGGAUUUGUUUCUUUGACACUCUCACUAUGACUCCCUCAUCUUGGUGGCUCUGCUCUUGUCCACGCCUUUGUUUCUCAUUUUCUUGCAACUCAUCAUCUCCUAAAAGAACCCUUUCUAUCUCUUCGUAACGGGUCUGUAUAUGAAAUCAUAACAAACAAACACAUGAUCAUUACUAUAUAUACUUAAUAAGUAACUAAGAAAUUGAUGCAUAUAAGAUGUGAUACAUUGAAGGUGGCCUCUAAAGUGUUCUUGCUGAAGCCGCUGAAGUAGGAUUGUUGGUCUUUAGUUGUUGAUGGAUAGAAAUCCUAUACAUAUAUAGAGAUAGAGAGAAAUGAGAAAGAUAUUAAAAACUACAUGGUGUUAGAUAUGAAAUGGGUGUGAAAGUAAGUGAGUUGAUAUAGUAAUAAACAAUGAUAUGGUAUGAUAGGAGAAAGAACAUUACAUAAAGCUUUCCAGGGUUGUUGAUGGGUAUUGCGAGCUUAGCUACUCUAAGAUUCUGGUUGUCAUCAGGGUUAAGGAUAUAAGAAGUUGUGCCAGCUGGGAGUCUGAGAGCAUCACCUUGCUCAAGGUUGUAUACUUGUCUUUUAUCAGGGUUCACUAUCGUGAUUGUGGCUCUACCUGCAAUCACAAAUAACUAAUGCAAUAAAUCAUUCAUUCACAUUAAUUAAAUGAUGGAAAUGAAUACUAGUACUAGUAAGUAAGCUUUUAAAUUUGGAUCCACGGGUGCUAUAGAUGCCAACAUGCCAACAUGUUAAGGUUUCAGUAGCCUUCAAAACAACGACCUAUAUUUAAAAAUUUAUAAUAAUUACCAUUGAGUACAACGAGGAUGAAGUCAGCAUCAGAGUGUUUAGGGAGAAUGAGAGUGUUUGGUUUUGAUUGGAACUCAAUAAUACGGUAAUUUUGUAGAUUCUCAAGUCUAUUGGUUCUCUGGUUAAACCUCUCGAGCACACGGAUUUGACCAUUUCUAUUUCUGUAAUAAGUCUGGAAUCUAUUAGAGCUGAAGUGAUAAGGAUUCCUCUGUCGGCGUGAGUCUGAGCGAGAGUCUUGCUCUUGCUCUCUCUCUUCUCUAUGCACCCUCCUCUCACGGUGUUGUCUCCUCUCAUCACCACUCCCCCUCUGUGAGCCUGAGCUAGAGCCUUGCUCUUGCUCUCUUUCUUCCCUCUCUUCCCUUCUGCUUUGAGGUCGUUGUCUCCUUGGUUGCCACUCUUCCUCUUCUUCUUCUUCCUCCUGUCUCCUUUGGGGUCGGGGUUGUUGUUCUUGCUCCCUUUCCCUAUGAUGUUCUCUUCUUCGUUCAUGCUCUUCCUCUUGGCUUUCUUCGCUCUGACUCCUACCACGUGAAGGCUCACCAUCAUGCUUCUCCUCUCUCCUAUGCUCUCUUUCUUGCUCCUCCUGCUGGCGGG
rnacentral:lncRNA from 1 species